rnacentral:tRNA from 1 species
CCGAGAAGGCGGGCCUCGAUCCCACGACAUA